rnacentral:lncRNA from 1 species
GGCACUGAAAAUGAAGCACAAGGGAAGGAAGCAGGCACCCAGUAAUUGACAAUAGGCUCCCAUGGAAGUCUUCUGUGCAUUUCUGCAAAAAUUUAGGAAACAUUAGGUUUGACACCAUCAUCAUGUUUGCCAAGGCAGCAAAAAUCCCAGCCGGCAAAGCUUCAAGUGUGAUGAAGCGGAACAGCAAGGACAGCAUGGAAUGACUGAUCAUUUCAGAAUGCCGUCUAGCAAGAGUUUCCAAUGUGGGAGUUUUCCAUUGUUUUGAAGCAGGAGAAAUAGGGACCGGCUGCUUUGGAAGAAACAUGCUGUGGUGAUGUAGGUAGGAUUUCCUCUUCUUUCUUUUCUACCUGACUUUCUG